CGAAGAAAUCUACCCAUUGUUGUUGUCGGCGGAGGUGGAAGGAAGACGAACAAGGAACCCUAGCGGCCUGAGGUAGGAACGCCCACAUCCGCGAGGCCGGCGGUGAUGGCGUCGGUUCGGUGCGCGGCGAGGAGGCUGGGUGGCUCCCUGCUCCAGCGAACGCAGGAGGCGGUCACGGAUGAGGGACGCCGGCUCGUGCCAGGCAGGUUCAUGCGCUCCCGCCAGCUUUCUAGCAAGCAUGCUGGUAAGAUCCCGAAAGAACUAGAGCCGUCUGAGGUGGAAUCAAAGUUGGAGCAGACGAGGGCGAAGCUGGGUGCAACGUUAGAUAAGUUGGAGAAGGCACGGCCAG